UGUGUGUGUGUGUGUGUGUGUUCCCCAGAUGUCUUUAUGUAGAAAAAAUACAUUUCUUAAUGAGUAUACUUUGAAUUGAUUUUCUCGAGAAGAGAAGGAAAAGUGAGUUGUUACUCUGAUCCUUGUACACUACGAGCCUGCCAGUGUACCUUUCCAGGUAGCAGGCCAGGAGGGCUAAAGGGCUAGCUUAUGUCCAUGGAUAUAGGGUAGAGUUUGACCUAAAUCAUUAAGAUGGGAAUUAAAUCAUUGACUUCACACCUAGUAGCACCAUGCUGAGUGGUCCUGGUGUCUUGAGGACCUGCUCAUAGGCAGAUGCUCCUCACUGAACCUUCUUGAAGAGGCUGGAACAGAUGCUAAGUAGUAGCUGUUUCUGAUAGGCACCUUCUUGUCUGCUCUGGCCUUGAUUUUGUUUGUAUGUGCUUUUGCUGGCAUAAGAGAAUCCAGGCUGUGACUGCCUGUUGUGUUUCAGGUGGAGGAGUCUGGCGAGCAUGUGAUCCUGGGCACCGGGGAGCUCUACCUGGACUGUGUGAUGCAUGAUUUGCGGAAGAUGUACUCAGAGAUAGACAUCAAGGUAGCUGACCCAGUUGUCACGUUUUGUGAGACGGUGGUGGAAACAUCCUCCCUCAAGUGCUUUGCUGAAACGCCUAAUAAGAAGAACAAGAUCACCAUGAUUGCUGAGCCUCUUGAGAAGGGCCUGGCAGAGGACAUAGAGAAUGAAGUGGUCCAGAUUACGUGGAACAGGAAGAAGCUGGGAGAGUUCUUCCAGACCAAGUACGAUUGGGAUCUGCUGGCUGCCCGUUCCAUCUGGGCUUUUGGCCCUGAUGCGACCGGCCCCAACAUUCUGGUGGAUGAUACUCUGCCCUCCGAGGUGGACAAGGCUCUUCUUGGUUCAGUGAAGGACAGCAUCGUUCAAGGUUUCCAGUGGGGAACCAGGGAGGGCCCCCUCUGUGAUGAAUGUAAGUCCACCAGCACUCCCCCACCCCAGUCCUCGAGGGUCCUUGCAGCCAGGCAUAUGAGUGGGAUGGGCUCACCAUCUUUAGGACUCAGCAGGAGAAGCAGCUUGGGGUACACAGGACCAUCCCAAGUCCUGGGCCAGCUUCUUCCAUUUUCCUUCCUUAUCCUGGUGGUGUAGCCUGGAAAUUUAAGUCAUUUCUAAACUGUCAUUUGCUCCUCAUUUCUGAGAAGGGUUUGGCAUUGGACGUAUUUGAGAAGAGAUAUCAAGAGGAUGAUGAGAUUGGAGUGGUUUAUAGACCCUGAUUGGGCUUCAUGGACCAAAUGUACAAUUCUGGAAUUUAUUCUACAUCCACAAAAAUGUAAAUAUGUACAGAAGAAGGAAAUAAACUUCUAGGAAAGCUCUAAGUCUGAGCAUGGCCUGAAGCAAACACUAAGAACAUGUGCUUAACUUCUGACCUCUGCUAUGGGCCUUGCUUAUUCAGUUAGAACGCCCACCUCCCAUGUGAUUUCUGUACCAUGUCUUUCAUGACUGCAAGAUAGCUGCAGUGUUGCAGGAGACUGCUACUCCGCCGUGGCCCCAUGACAGGCCCAGAACCUCUCCCCAGUCACUCCCUCCACCUCCUUUACAGUGAUUCGGAAUGUCAAGUUUAAGAUCCUGGAUGCAGUGGUUGCCCAGGAGCCCCUGCACCGGGGCGGGGGCCAGAUCAUCCCCACAGCCAGGAGAGUCGUUUACUCUGCCUUCCUCAUGGGGGCACGUGACUCAGGAUGCACCCAUCCCAGGCUCCCCUCUGUACACCAUCAAAGCUUUUAUCCCAGCCAUCGACUCUUUUGGCUUUGAGACUGAUCUCCGGACUCACACCCAGGGACAAGCCUUUUCUCUGUCUGUCUUCCACCACUGGCAGAUUGUGCCUGGUGAUCCUCUGGACAAGAGCAUUGUCAUCCGCCCCUUGGAGCCACAGCCAGCUCCUCACCUGGCCCGGGAAUUCAUGAUCAAAACCCGUCGUAGGAAGGGCCUCAGUGAAGAUGUGAGCAUCAGCAAAUUCUUCGAUGAUCCUAUGUUGCUGGAACUUGCCAAACAGGAUGUUGUGCUCAAUUACCCCAUGUGAGUGCAUGGACUCCUGGGAGCUCCUGCUCCCUACAGUGGGCUGCAACUCCUGUACUUGAAGCUGAGACCUCGUAUGACGUGGCCUUCGUGUUGUCAGAGGGUGUCUGGAAGCUGCUGUUGCCAUCUUGAACAACUCACCAACCUCCAACCCAGAGCCCCAGUGAGAGAGGAGCAUUUGGCCUCCUACUUCCUUCUGUGGCCUCUGCCGGGCUCCAUUCCCAAGGAGAAGAGAGGAGCUUGGGCUCACAGAAAGAGAAGGGGAUGAAACCCCAAGGGGCCCUAUCUUUGGGAUUUACAUGGAAUUUUAUUUUCUACAAGUUUGACCUUAGCCAUGGUUUGCAAGUGAACAGAACAUUCU
rnacentral:sRNA from 1 species